UAGGGAAUCUUCGGCAAUGGACGAAAGUCUGACCGAGCAACGCCGCGUGAGUGAUGAAGGUUUUCGGAUCGUAAAACUCUGUUGUUAGAGAAGAACAAGGACGUUAGUAACUGAACGUCCCCUGACGGUAUCUAACCAGAAAGCCACGGCUAACUACGUGCCAGCAGCCGCGGUAAUACGUAGGUGGCAAGCGUUGUCCGGAUUUAUUGGGCGUAAAGCGAGCGCAGGCGGUUUCUUAAGUCUGAUGUGAAAGCCCCCGGCUCAACCGGGGAGGGUCGUUGGAAACUGGGAGACUUGAGUGCAGAAGAGGAGAGUGGAAUUCCAUGUGUAGCGGUGAAAUGCGUAGAUAUAUGGAGGAACACCAGUGGCGAAGGCGGCUCUCUGGUCUGUAACUGACGCUGAGGCUCGAAAGCGUGGGGAGCAAACAGG
rnacentral:rRNA from 1 species